GACAUUUAUUAUGAGAUAGUGAGAGUGUUAUUUAUCAUUUACUGCAAAAAAAAAAUAUAAAAUGACUAAGGGAAUGUUAAUAUUGAAAUAAUUAAUACAUUUUUCUAGGGAAAAAACUAAUACAAUUGAAAUUCUAAAGAUAAAAAAAAUCUAUAAAUAGGAUUCGAUAUUUACAUUUACAAGAUGUAUAUGUAUAUUAUUAAGAUCAUAUGAUACCACUGGUUUCUAGGAUUCCAUUAGCUGUAGCAGCAGAACAUUGAAGGCAAGCAUUAUAUGCAAAAGCAGAACCUCUUGGAUGCAUGAUCAUAAUCCUAAGGCUAAUUUAAUUUCUCUUCCAAAAAUUUCUGCAUUUUUCUGAUUCCUGUGAUAUUGAAUAUUUUCCUAAAUAAGUGAUGCAAGCUGUCCUAUAUUCAUUAAAUUAAUGAAUUUUAUGCCUAUUUUUUUUUUAUUGAUGUUGAUUGUAUUGUUUCCCCACACUACACAUAACAAUAUAUAGCUGAUAACCCAAUAGUAGAAAAGAUAAACUUAUAGCAUUGAAUUUCUUGAUAGGGGUAACAUUAAGUCACCUAAGUAAUAUGUGAAAAUUCAGUGUCCAAUUUCGUCUAAUC
rnacentral:lncRNA from 1 species